AGAGUUCCAAACAAGGGAAAAUAAAAAAGCACAAAAUUCCCUGCUUCAAGAAAAGGGAAAAGAUUUUGUCCGUAUGGUGCACAGACCUCAAAGGUACCAUUGACUGAUAAAUUACAGCUAGUGGACAUUCCAAUCACAGAAGAAGAGAAGUCAACUCACUGGGCUUUGGUGGCUAGCCCUAAUAAGCCACCGGGUCCGCCAUGAAAAUAAUCAGUUGGAAUUGUCAGGGGUUGGGCUCUCCCCUGACAAUUCGAGCACUGAGAGCCCUAGUGGCUCAGGAAUAGCCCAUCUUAAUCUUUUUAAUGGAAACCAAAAAUCA
rnacentral:lncRNA from 1 species